GGGUUGUGAGGUUAAGCGACUAAGCGUACACGGUGGAUGCCCUGGCAGUCAGAGGCGAUGAAGGACGUGCUAAUCUGCGAUAAGCGUCGGUAAGGUGAUAUGAACCGUUAUAACCGGCGAUUUCCGAAUGGGGAAACCCAGUGUGUUUCGACACACUAUCAUUAACUGAAUCCAUAGGUUAAUGAGGCGAACCGGGGGAACUGAAACAUCUAAGUACCCCGAGGAAAAGAAAUCAACCGAGAUUCCCCCAGUAGCGGCGAGCGAACGGGGAGCAGCCCAGAGCCUGAAUCAGUGUGUGUGUUAGUGGAAGCGUCUGGAAAGGCGCGCGAUACAGGGUGACAGCCCCGUACACAAAAAUGCACAUACUGUGAGCUCGAUGAGUAGGGCGGGACACGUGGUAUCCUGUCUGAAUAUGGGGGGACCAUCCUCCAAGGCUAAAUACUCCUGACUGACCGAUAGUGAACCAGUACCGUGAGGGAAAGGCGAAAAGAACCCCGGCGAGGGGAGUGAAAAAGAACCUGAAACCGUGUACGUACAAGCAGUGGGAGCACGCUUAGGCGUGUGACUGCGUACCUUUUGUAUAAUGGGUCAGCGACUUAUAUUCUGUAGCAAGGUUAACCGAAUAGGGGAGCCGAAGGGAAACCGAGUCUUAACUGGGCGUUAAGUUGCAGGGUAUAGACCCGAAACCCGGUGAUCUAGCCAUGGGCAGGUUGAAGGUUGGGUAACACUAACUGGAGGACCGAACCGACUAAUGUUGAAAAAUUAGCGGAUGACUUGUGGCUGGGGGUGAAAGGCCAAUCAAACCGGGAGAUAGCUGGUUCUCCCCGAAAGCUAUUUAGGUAGCGCCUCGUGAAUUCAUCUCCGGGGGUAGAGCACUGUUUCGGCAAGGGGGUCAUCCCGACUUACCAACCCGAUGCAAACUGCGAAUACCGGAGAAUGUUAUCACGGGAGACACACGGCGGGUGCUAACGUCCGUCGUGAAGAGGGAAACAACCCAGACCGCCAGCUAAGGUCCCAAAGUCAUGGUUAAGUGGGAAACGAUGUGGGAAGGCCCAGACAGCCAGGAUGUUGGCUUAGAAGCAGCCAUCAUUUAAAGAAAGCGUAAUAGCUCACUGGUCGAGUCGGCCUGCGCGGAAGAUGUAACGGGGCUAAACCAUGCACCGAAGCUGCGGCAGCGACGCUUAUGCGUUGUUGGGUAGGGGAGCGUUCUGUAAGCCUGCGAAGGUGUGCUGUGAGGCAUGCUGGAGGUAUCAGAAGUGCGAAUGCUGACAUAAGUAACGAUAAAGCGGGUGAAAAGCCCGCUCGCCGGAAGACCAAGGGUUCCUGUCCAACGUUAAUCGGGGCAGGGUGAGUCGACCCCUAAGGCGAGGCCGAAAGGCGUAGUCGAUGGGAAACAGGUUAAUAUUCCUGUACUUGGUGUUACUGCGAAGGGGGGACGGAGAAGGCUAUGUUGGCCGGGCGACGGUUGUCCCGGUUUAAGCGUGUAGGCUGGUUUUCCAGGCAAAUCCGGAAAAUCAAGGCUGAGGCGUGAUGACGAGGCACUACGGUGCUGAAGCAACAAAUGCCCUGCUUCCAGGAAAAGCCUCUAAGCAUCAGGUAACAUCAAAUCGUACCCCAAACCGACACAGGUGGUCAGGUAGAGAAUACCAAGGCGCUUGAGAGAACUCGGGUGAAGGAACUAGGCAAAAUGGUGCCGUAACUUCGGGAGAAGGCACGCUGAUAUGUAGGUGAAGUCCCUCGCGGAUGGAGCUGAAAUCAGUCGAAGAUACCAGCUGGCUGCAACUGUUUAUUAAAAACACAGCACUGUGCAAACACGAAAGUGGACGUAUACGGUGUGACGCCUGCCCGGUGCCGGAAGGUUAAUUGAUGGGGUCAGCGCAAGCGAAGCUCUUGAUCGAAGCCCCGGUAAACGGCGGCCGUAACUAUAACGGUCCUAAGGUAGCGAAAUUCCUUGUCGGGUAAGUUCCGACCUGCACGAAUGGCGUAAUGAUGGCCAGGCUGUCUCCACCCGAGACUCAGUGAAAUUGAACUCGCUGUGAAGAUGCAGUGUACCCGCGGCAAGACGGAAAGACCCCGUGAACCUUUACUAUAGCUUGACACUGAACAUUGAGCCUUGAUGUGUAGGAUAGGUGGGAGGCUUUGAAGUGUGGACGCCAGUCUGCAUGGAGCCGACCUUGAAAUACCACCCUUUAAUGUUUGAUGUUCUAACGUGGACCCGUAAUCCGGGUUGCGGACAGUGUCUGGUGGGUAGUUUGACUGGGGCGGUCUCCUCCUAAAGAGUAACGGAGGAGCACGAAGGUUGGCUAAUCCUGGUCGGACAUCAGGAGGUUAGUGCAAUGGCAUAAGCCAGCUUGACUGCGAGCGUGACGGCGCGAGCAGGUGCGAAAGCAGGUCAUAGUGAUCCGGUGGUUCUGAAUGGAAGGGCCAUCGCUCAACGGAUAAAAGGUACUCCGGGGAUAACAGGCUGAUACCGCCCAAGAGUUCAUAUCGACGGCGGUGUUUGGCACCUCGAUGUCGGCUCAUCACAUCCUGGGGCUGAAGUAGGUCCCAAGGGUAUGGCUGUUCGCCAUUUAAAGUGGUACGCGAGCUGGGUUUAGAACGUCGUGAGACAGUUCGGUCCCUAUCUGCCGUGGGCGCUGGAGAACUGAGGGGGGCUGCUCCUAGUACGAGAGGACCGGAGUGGACGCAUCACUGGUGUUCGGGUUGUCAUGCCAAUGGCACUGCCCGGUAGCUAAAUGCGGAAGAGAUAAGUGCUGAAAGCAUCUAAGCACGAAACUUGCCCCGAGAUGAGUUCUCCCUGACUCCUUGAGAGUCCUGAAGGAACGUUGAAGACGACGACGUUGAUAGGCCGGGUGUGUAAGCGCAGCGAUGCGUUGAGCUAACCGGUACUAAUGAACCGUGAGGCUUAACCUUACAACGCCGAAGCUGUU
rnacentral:rRNA from 1 species